GUUUUUCUCCUGGUUUUCACUGUUGGCCUAUAUGUUCUUUUGCAAAUUUCAUAAGGCACGCGGUGAAUGCCAAGAGCGAACGA
rfam:Anopheles funestus strain FTMOZ unplaced genomic scaffold supercont1.130, whole genome shotgun sequence.